UGAAAAAGCAGAAAUAAAUCAUUUUCAAAGACAUCACUUCCAAAGCAAACUUCUAUCUUUGCUCUUCUAUGAACCAGGGAACGAAAAGGACACAGCUGUGGAUGUGGAUAAGGCCAGAUUUUGCAAGAUUAUUAAACAACAAAUUAUUAAAACGACCAUGCCGCUCGCUUUCUCCUUCAUGGUUUUGAUAAUCGUUUGUUCAAAAAGGACCUGUGCAGACUCAGUAAUGCAACCAGCAGGCACCAUUCACAUCCAGGAAGGAAAACAUGUACUUCUCCACUGCACCUAUGAUUACUCUGGGUCUACUCCUAUGUUCCUCUGGUACGCGCAGUAUCCCCAUGAGGCCCCUCGUCCGUUGCUGACACAAUAUGAAGCCUCGGACGAGGAGGAGAAGAGACGCAGGCGAGGGUUCUCUGCUAAACUGGAGAAAGACUCCAAAUCCUUCAACCUGGAGAAAAACUCCAGCGAAGUGAGCGACUCUGCUGUCUAUUACUGCGCCGUGAGAGACACAGCGAGUAAAGCCGCCAGGGGAGCUGUACAAAAACCCCACCGUCUGAGAAACACAAAGGGCUGA